rnacentral:rRNA from 1 species
UACGUAGGGUGCAAGCGUUGUCCGGAAUUAUUGGGCGUAAAGGGCUCGUAGGCGGUCCAUCGCGUCGGGAGUGAAAAGCUGGGGCUCAACCCCAGUCCUGCUUUCGAUACGGGUGGACUAGAGGUAGGCAGGGGAGAACGGAAUUCCUGGUGUAGCGGUGAAAUGCGCAGAUAUCAGGAGGAACACCCGUGGCGAAAGCGGCUCUCUGGGACGGUACUGACGCUGAGACGCGAAAGCGUGGGGAGCAAACAGG